UGCCUUUCCAGCUGUCACUGCCUUCACUGGGGUUUGAAUACAGAGCUACUCAGCAGCCACAUGGGAGAAGACUGAGCAUCUUUCUAGACAAACAAUUUACUUGCAGUUUCGGUUUUGGAGUGUUUUGGCAUGCUGUUGUAAAUCUGCCUGCUCCAGCACAUCUUCAUUUUCCUUCAGCUUGGGGUCACUGCAAACGUACAUGGUGAUGUGAGCUGCAGGAUGUGCUUCUCCUCAAGGGGCAAAGGAAAGGCUUCUUUCUACGGAUGGACAGACUUUGUGCAGUUCUUCUGAGCAUAGGGGACCUGGAAGGCCACAGUCUGUUUCUCCGCUGUUAAUGUUCAGAAGUCUACUUGUCCAGCCUCCUGCUUGCUGUGAAACCCUUCCAGGUAGUCGUCUUUGAGGUCAGCAUACAGUUGGGUUGCACCUUGCUGUGAAUUCCUUGGUCACAAG
rnacentral:lncRNA from 1 species